rnacentral:rRNA from 1 species
CGCCUCUUGCCAAUAACCAUGUAUAAGAGGUCCAGCCUGCCCAGUGACUAUAUGUUCAACGGCCGCGGUAUUCUGACCGUGCAAAGGUAGCGUAAUCACUUGUCUUUUAAAUAAAGACUGGUAUGAACGGCACCACGAAGGUUCAACUGUCUCCUGCAUCCAAUCCAUUAAACUGACCUCCCCGUGCAGAGGCGGGGAUAUAACCAUAAGACGAGAAGACCCUAUGGAGCUUUAAACUAAAGGCAACUGCCAAACCAUCAAACCCACAAGGAUAAACAAUAAAACAAGCAGAAAUUGACCUAAAGUUUUCGGUUGGGGCGACCAUGGAGAAUAAAAAAUCCUCCUUGAAGAAUAGGGCUUACAACCCUUAACCAAGAACCACUAUUCUAAGUAACAAAAUUUAUGACUGCAAUUGAUCCAGUCCUACUGAUCAACGAACCAAGUUACCCUAGGGAUAACAGCGCAAUCCAUUUCAAAAGUUCCUAUCGACAAAUGGGUUUACGACCUCGAUGUUGGAUCAGGGCAUCCCAGUGGUGCAGCCGCUACUAAAGGUUCGUUUGUUCAACGAUUAAAGC